UAGUUGUUUGACUUUUUGUAAUGACAGAGUUACUUACCCCAUGCUAUUGUGUCUUCUAUCACAUCUUCUAGUACAGUUAAAUCCAUAAUUAAUAUAUUAUUAGGAUAGUAAGAUAAAUGUUGUUUACUGAGGUUCCAAUAUGCACAUUUCCUGUCUUGUGGGAACCUUUUGUUUCUCCUGGAGUUUUUAAUUGCCACAUUUUUUUCUAGCCACUUGGAUACUUUUCUAACCACUUUAAAAAAAUAUUGUCCUCAAAUGUUCAAUUUUAAUCAUUUAUUUUAUUAGUCUUCUUUCUUUCCCCAAGAGCCUUCAAUUCUGGAUACUUCCAUAAACCCACCAAAUCUGGACUGUUCCAUCUUUAGGCCUGUGGCAUAUUCUUCUCGCUGGGCCUUCUCCUUCACUCUCCUAGCCUGGGCCCAAUGCUCCUUUGCUCUUUCGUCUUGCUCAUUUUGCCAGAGGUUAUCCCAGUAGUUACUUAAUAAAGGUGCAAAGAAGGUUAAUUUUAUGAAUGCUGAUAUAUAUGAAAAUGUCUUUAGUCUAUCUCUGCACAUGACUAAUACUUUGCUAAAUCUAGAAUUCCAGGUUGAAAAUAAUCUUCCCUCAGGAAUUUUUAGGUGUCCGUGUCUUCAGGAAUUACAAGGCGCUAUAGCACUGAUCCCAUGGUGUUACAGUCUCUGCCCUGAAGUUCAAGAUUCACAGAGGUCGCUGGAUACGCGCCCCCUACGAUCCAUUCCCCGAUUGCCCGACACAGCACUUGGUGCUUCAGAAUGACCGCCCCUCCUCGCACCUUUAAAGGUCUGCCUGGGUGGUUCCUGCGUAUCAUUACAUCCCAGACAACGUUGUCUUCGUAAAAAGUCAUCUUGGGCUCUGGCCUCCAAGACAAGAACUCCUUCAGAACUGUGCUUCCCAAGUGGACUUCCGAUCCAGAUGGGGGACGGCCACUUCUGUCACCAAAGGAGAGCGAAAGAUUACUCUCCCACAGAUACGAACUCUUCAGUCUCCCGAAUGCCCCAGAAGAGGGGCCUCUCUCUAAAGCUCCUGAGGAGAAGGACGAGGUCAGCUGUCCUUGAUGCCCUGUGUCCCCAGGUGUGUGUGGUGGGGCUGGUGCAGUUUAGGGGCCGGGGCUGAGCCCUGUUAGCCCCCUCCCACCAUUGCUCCCUGGUGUUCCAGGGUGACACACAGAGCCAUCCCUUCUUCCUUUAUAUCCUCCCCUUGAUCUUGUGAUGCCCACAGCGUGUCCCAGCAGCCCAGGAGCUCCCUGUGGGUCCCUGUGCCAGGGACAAUGCUCACUGACAAUGCCUGUGCUUGCUCCCUGGGUCUCAUCUGCAAAGAUCACCUCGAAUCAUUGGCAGGGCCCUCCUUAGUGGGCAGGAGACAGGGGACAUUGGAGACAACUACCUGCCUACCAUGGACCCACAGCCUGUGGUCUGGAGGGCCACCCUGUCUUCCAAAGCCGGGUGAGACAGUUGUGACUGAGCUCAGGGCCAGCAUGCUCUAGAGACCCUUUUCAGAAGGCACCAUGAAAGCUAGAGCCAGCUGGGACAUAGGAAUUGUCCCUGAGUGACCCAUGGGCUCACUUCCUUCAAAAAAAGGGUAUUGAAACAAAAAGGCCCCGGAGGGGCAGGUCCCUGGAGCCCAGAUCCCUUUCUGUCUGCACGCAGCCGAGGCCGGUCAUGGGACAAGUCUUUCCGGCUUUGCAUCAGAUACUUCAAGAAAAGAGGCCAGAAACCUGUCCCAGGCCUCGCCCUCCCCUUAGAUCUGGGAGUCAGUGCCAUGGUGCUGGGUGCAGCAGCAGGACUGCUGUUCCAACUAACCAGCCCACCAGGGGACGGCCACUUGCGAUUUUAAGCAUUAAUUCACACAAUCUUCACAACAGCUGCAUGACACACUCUGCAUUUCCCAGAACACUGAAGCUCAGAGAGGUGAAGUGACUAGCCCCGCAUCACACAGCUGUUCUCGGUGGAAGGGCCUGAUUUCAGAGCCCAGCUCUAUUCAGAGUCUCAUGCUGGAGGAUCCUUGGUAUGCUCUUCUGGUACAGGGUGGUGGCUGACCUGAUUAAUGCUUGACAGGGUCCCCUCCAAAGCCACAAGCGUCCCAUCAGACAUGAUGAGGCACUGGAGGGCAGGGAGGACCUCACUCUCUAUGCCUGUGUCCUCGGCGGUAGUGACAACAUGGGCUCCCUCUGUCCCUUUCACUGCCUCUGAGGGACAAGGAUCACAUAGCUGCAGUGUCCACAGGAAGAUUAAAAACUGAGUCUGUGUGUCAGGACAUCGUGGUCCCUGUGGGAGCUGGGUGGACUCCCUGCCUGACCACAGGGCCCUCUGCCUCUAUUCACUGGAGCCCAUGAGGUUUCCUUUUUUUUGGACAGGGGAUUGAACCCAGGGGAUCUUAACCACUGAGCCACCCAUCCACCUAUCCAGCCGUUUUGAUUUGAUUUGAUUUUUUAUUUAGAGACAAGGUCUCACUAAGUUGCUGAGGUUGGCCUUAAAUUUGUGAUCCUCCUCCCCCCAGCCUCCUGAGUCACUAGAUUUACAGCUGUGCAUCGGCAUACCCAGCUAGGACCAUGCUGUUUUGACUGUGGAGUUGGGAUGUCAGACCCGAGAGCCUAGGAGGCUCCUCUUUCUGCCUCCCCUCCCCUCUUGGAGCAUACUGCUUGUCUUAUUUGCCACCAUUUUUUUUGUAAAAAUGUUUGAACAAAUGGAAACAUUGAGAGUGAGCACCCAGACACUCAUCCCUGGUUUCUACGGCUCACAUGGACUUCUGUUUACUUUUUUGCACAUCUAGCCAUAUAUCUCCAUGAUGGCCCACCUCUUUUUUUUUUUUUUGGCAGUGCUGGAGGUCAAUCCUGGAGCCUCAUACUUCCUAGACAACUGCUCUAUGGCUGAGUUACACCAUGCCCACCCGCCACGUUCUUUAUACUAAACCACUUGCUUGGAUUUUAAAAAUUUAAUUGUGUUAAAAUACAUUUAACAAAAUUCA